rnacentral:lncRNA from 1 species
UGUUGAUCUUUCCCGUUUCCCCCCUAGCAAUACUGGGCACCCAGGGCUUCCUCAGAGGAUAACAGGAGAUGGCGAAGUCAGAGGGAAGAAAGUCUGCUUCCCAGGACACAUCGGAGAAUGGCAUGGAGAACCCAGGCCUGGAGCUCAUGGAAGUCGGAAACCUUGAGCAAGGCAAAACACUGGAGGAAGUGACACAGGGACAUAGCCUGAAGGAUGGCUUGGGGCAUUCCUCUCUCUGGAGGAGGAUUCUUCAGCCCUUCACCAAGGCGAGAAGUUUCUAUCAAAGACAUGCUGGUUUAUUCAAAAAGAUCCUGCUUGGUCUCUUGUGUUUAGCGUAUGCUGCCUACCUCCUGGCAGCUUGCAUCCUGAACUUCCGGAGGGCACAGGCCUUGUUUGUCAUCACCUGCCUUGUCAUCUUCAUCCUGGCUUGCCACUUUCUGAAAAAAUUCUUUGCUAAAAAGUCAAUAAGAUGCUUGAAGCCCUUGAAAAACACCCGCCUGAGACUUUGGCUUAAGAGGGUGUUCAUGGGAGCCGCUGUUGUCGGCCUUAUUCUCUGGCUGGCUCUGGACACAGCUCAAAGGCCAGAGCAGCUGAUCUCCUUUGCGGGAAUCUGCAUGUUCCUCCUCAUUCUCUUUGCCUGCUCCAAACACCACAGUGCGGUGAGCUGGAGGACAGUGUUUUGGGGCCUGGGCCUUCAGUUCGUCUUUGGGAUUUUGGUCAUCAGAACUGAACCUGGAUUUAAUGCAUUUCAAUGGCUGGGAGAUCAGAUCCAGAUUUUCCUGGCAUAUACUGUAGAAGGAUCCAGUUUUGUUUUUGGUGACACACUGGUCCAAAGUGUUUUUG